rnacentral:tRNA from 1 species
UCCUCGAUAGUAUAGUGGUCAGUAUCGCCGCCUGACACGCGGAAGACCGGGGUUCGAUUCCCGCCGGGGAG